AUGGGCUCCAGGCUCCUCUGCUGGGUGGUCCUUGGUCUCCUGAGAGCAGGCCCUGCGGAUGCUGAGGUCACUCAAAGCCCCAGACACCUGGUCAAAGCAAGGAGUCAGCCAGUGACCCUGAGAUGCAACUAUGAAUCUGGGCACUUGUAUGUGUACUGGUACCAACAGGCCCUGGGAAAGAGUCUUGACUUCCUUGUUUCAUAUACCAGUGGGGAACAAUAUGAAAAAGGCAGCCUCCCUGAUCACUUCAAAGUCCAACAGUUCAGUAAGGACUCCAGCUCUGAGCUGAGCGUGAGCUCCGUGGAAGUGGCCGACUCUGCCCUGUACCUCUGUGCCAGCAGCCUCACAGCCCUGCCUGCUCAGCUGCCUCCUGCACAAAAACACCCGUGGCCAGCCCAGGAAGUGGCAGUGAGACAAAGAGCUGCCAGCCAGUCACUCUCAGCCUAUACUGAGGAAAGUCUCUCUAUGUUAUCAUACAGGAACCAUAAUCAUGAAGCAGACGAUCUCUCUGAGCUGGACAGAAACUGGAAAGAGAAAGAGCUGGAUGAGCAGCUUGAGUAA